rnacentral:rRNA from 1 species
GAUCCUGGCUCAGAUUGAACGCUGGCGGCAUGCCUUACACAUGCAAGUCGAACGGCAGCACGGGUGCUUGCACCUGGUGGCGAGUGGCGAACGGGUGAGUAAUACAUCGGAACGUACCUUAUCGUGGGGGAUAACGCAGCGAAAGCUGUGCUAAUACCGCAUACGCCCUGAGGGGGAAAGCGGGGGAUCGAAAGACCUCGCGCGAUUAGAGCGGCCGAUGCCUGAUUAGCUUGUUGGUGGGGUAAAAAGCCCACCAAGGCGACGAUCAGUAGCUGGCCUGAGAGGGUGAUCCCCCACACUGGUACUGAGACACGGACCAGACUCCUACGGGAGGCAGCAGUGAGGAAUAUUGGUCAAUGGGUGCAAGCCUGAACCAGCCAUCCCGCGUGAAGGACGACUGCCCUAUGGGUUGUAAACUUCUUUUGUAUAGGGAUAAACCUACCCUCGUGAGGGUAGCUGAAGGUACUAUACGAAUAAGCACCGGCUAACUCCGUG